GGGUUGUGAGGUUAAGCGACUAAGCGUACACGGUGGAUGCCCUGGCAGUCAGAGGCGAUGAAGGACGUGCUAAUCUGCGAUAAGCGUCGGUAAGGUGAUAUGAACCGUUAUAACCGGCGAUUUCCGAAUGGGGAAACCCAGUGUGUUUCGACACACUAUCAUUAACUGAAUCCAUAGGUUAAUGAGGCGAACCGGGGGAACUGAAACAUCUAAGUACCCCGAGGAAAAGAAAUCAACCGAGAUUCCCCCAGUAGCGGCGAGCGAACGGGGAGCAGCCCAGAGCCUGAAUCAGUAUGUGUGUUAGUGGAAGCGUCUGGAAAGGCGCGCGAUACAGGGUGACAGCCCCGUACACAAAAAUGCACAUAUUGUGAGCUCGAUGAGUAGGGCGGGACACGUGGUAUCCUGUCUGAAUAUGGGGGGACCAUCCUCCAAGGCUAAAUACUCCUGACUGACCGAUAGUGAACCAGUACCGUGAGGGAAAGGCGAAAAGAACCCCGGCGAGGGGAGUGAAAAAGAACCUGAAACCGUGUACGUACAAGCAGUGGGAGCACGCUUAGGCGUGUGACUGCGUACCUUUUGUAUAAUGGGUCAGCGACUUAUAUUCUGUAGCAAGGUUAACCGAAUAGGGGAGCCGAAGGGAAACCGAGUCUUAACUGGGCGUUAAGUUGCAGGGUAUAGACCCGAAACCCGGUGAUCUAGCCAUGGGCAGGUUGAAGGUUGGGUAACACUAACUGGAGGACCGAACCGACUAAUGUUGAAAAAUUAGCGGAUGACUUGUGGCUGGGGGUGAAAGGCCAAUCAAACCGGGAGAUAGCUGGUUCUCCCCGAAAGCUAUUUAGGUAGCGCCUCGUGAAUUCAUCUCCGGGGGUAGAGCACUGUUUCGGCAAGGGGGUCAUCCCGACUUACCAACCCGAUGCAAACUGCGAAUACCGGAGAAUGUUAUCACGGGAGACACACGGCGGGUGCUAACGUCCGUCGUGAAGAGGGAAACAACCCAGACCGCCAGCUAAGGUCCCAAAGUCAUGGUUAAGUGGGAAACGAUGUGGGAAGGCCCAGACAGCCAGGAUGUUGGCUUAGAAGCAGCCAUCAUUUAAAGAAAGCGUAAUAGCUCACUGGUCGAGUCGGCCUGCGCGGAAGAUGUAACGGGGCUAAACCAUG
rnacentral:rRNA from 1 species